rnacentral:rRNA from 1 species
UACGUAGGGUGCAAGCGUUGUCCGGAAUUAUUGGGCGUAAAGAGCUCGUAGGCGGUCUGUCGCGUCUGGUGUGAAAACUCGGGGCUUAACUCCGGGCCUGCAUCGGGUACGGGCAGACUAGAGUGCGGUAGGGGAGACUGGAAUUCCUGGUGUAGCGGUGAAAUGCGCAGAUAUCAGGAGGAACACCGGUGGCGAAGGCGGGUCUCUGGACAGUUCCUGACGCUGAGGCACGAAGGCCAGGGGAGCAAACGGG